ACACUCAAUCCAUUUCAUCCGUUGAUUUCAAAAGCAGCAGCCGCGUGUCACUUCUUCCGCUCCUCUCUUUAGUUUCUUGAUUUUAUUUUCAAAUUUGAAUCCCGCUGUGUAUCUCUAUGUCUCCUUCUUACUCUCAUAUUUUCUCUCCCACAUAUUUUAAAAUAUAGCCAUUAAUGAUCGAUUGUUCUUGCAAAAGCUUGAUUCUAGGGUAUUUCGAAGAGUAUAGAUUUAUGACUAAGCUGUUGACUGACGAUUCUCUCUGUUGUGUGCCCCUUUCUCUAGGGUUCCAAGCGCUGCUUCGCCGCUGGAAAAUCAAAUAUCCUAUUAAAUCUAUCUUUCUUGCCGGAGCUGGUUGUGUGAUUGUGUUUGUUUAUACUAGCAAAUAUUGAAGCAAGGCCAGGUCCAUGUGAUCCCAGAACACCAUAAUUGUGCAAACCUGCCUCUUUGUACCAGCACACACUCUCCAACAUGAACUGGGCUGGAAACUCUGCGACAGAACCUUACAUAGUUGGUCUGCCAUGGAUAUUUACAGAAAACAUACAAGAGUGUGGAUGUUCACACGGGUGUAGCCAUGUUGAUUCUCGAUAAUUUUAACAAAUUCACAAUCAUUGAUAGGUCGUAAACAAGUCAAGUUUCUUAUUCAAGGAGAGCUUAUUGUAAUCAAAAUGAUAUUGCGACUUAUAUAUUUGGAUUCUUCUUUGGUAAAACCACUUUGAUCGAGUUAUCUCCAAAGAAGACAUGGGAAGGUUUUAUUGGAGCAUCUUUUACAACUAUCAUUUCUGCAUUUGUGGUGGCAUCAAUGCAGCAUGGAUGCAGACUUACGUUAAGGGAGUUUUGUGCCCAUACAUCUUUUCCAAGAACCGUUUGGAUAAUGGGGUGUUUCUGGUGGGUUACGGAGUUGUGAAUAUGCUCCCAUUCGUUUCAAGAAAAGCUUUACGGAUCAUUAAGAAUUCAUGGGGUGAAAGCUGAGGAGAAGAUGCAUACUACAAGUUCUGCAUAGGCCAAACACAUGACAUUUGCAUGGUGGAUUCCAUGGCGUCUAUGGUAGCAUAGCGCAAAAAUGUUGGGUUUGGAAAGGGGGGUUAUACUUCUUGACUGGCAAAAAACAUAAAAAUCCAUUGAUUGGUAUCAUAGUGCUUAGCUCUUCCUCUCUUUUUCGCCUUUUCGGUGUUAGGAAGGGAGUCGACUCUGUGUAUAAUUAAUUUUUUGUGUUGGCAUUUGUUUGAGGGUUGAACAGCCCUUGACAGUUUAUAGCUCUGGGCUUCACACUACUGACAUUUUAUUUACAUUCUUAUGUUUUUGGAGCA